GACGAACGCUGGCGGCGUGCCUAACACAUGCAAGUCGAACGGAACUUCUUUAAAGGAUUUCUUCGGAAUGAAUUUGAUUAAGUUUAGUGGCGGACGGGUGAGUAACGCGUGAGUAACCUGCCUCUAAGAGGGGGAAUAACAUUUUGAAAAGAAUGCUAAUACCGCAUAAUAUAUAUUUAUCGCAUGGUAGAUAUAUCAAAGAUUUAUCGCUUAGAGAUGGACUCGCGUCCGAUUAGUAGUUGGUGAGGUAACGGCUCACCAAGACCGCGAUCGGUAGCCGGACUGAGAGGUUGAACGGCCACAUUGGGACUGAGACACGGCCCAGACUCUACGGGAGGCAGCAGUGGGGGAUAUUGCGCAAUGGGGGGAAACCCUGACGCAGCAACG
rnacentral:rRNA from 1 species